rnacentral:rRNA from 1 species
AUUGAACGCUGGCGGCGGGCCUAACACAUGCAAGUCGAACGGUAGCACAGAGAGCUUGCUCUCGGGUGACGAGUGGCGGACGGGUGAGUAACGUCUGGGAAACUGCCCGAUGGAGGGGGAUAACUACUGGAAACGGUAGCUAAUACCGCAUAACGCCGCAAGACCAAAGUGGGGGACCUUCGGGCCUCACCCCAUCGGCUGUGCCCAGAUGGGAUUAGCUAGUAGGUGGGGUAAUGGCUCACCUAGGCGACGAUCCCUAGCUGGUCUGAGAGGAUGACCAGCCACACUGGAACUGAGACACGGUCCAGACUCCUACGGGAGGCAGCAGUGGGGAAUAUUGCACAAUGGGCGCAAGCCUGAUGCAGCCAUGCCGCGUGUAUGAAGAAGGCCUUCGGGUUGUAAAGUACUUUCAGCGGGGAGGAAGGCGGUGAAGUUAAUAACUUCACCGAUUGACGUUACCCGCAGAAGAAGCACCGGCUAACUCCGUGCCAGCCGCCGCCGUAA